rnacentral:rRNA from 1 species
UACGGAGAGUGCAAACGUUGUUCGGAAUCACUGGGCGUAAAGCGCACGUAGGCCGAUUGUUAAGUCAGGGGUGAAAUCCUGGAGCUCAACUCCAGAACUGCCCUUGAUACUGACGGUCUCGAGUCCGGGAGAGGUGAGUGGAACUGCGAGUGUAGAGGUGAAAUUCGUAGAUAUUCGCAAGAACACCAGUGGCGAAGGCGGCUCACUGGCCCGGUACUGACGCUGAGGUGCGAAAGCGUGGGGAGCAAACAGGG